GACGAACCGAGCGAACGUUGUUCGGAAUCACUGGGCUUAAAGGGCGCGUAGGCGGGCUGUCAAGUCUGGGGUGAAAUCCCUCGGCUUAACCGGGGAACGGCGUCCGAUACUGGAUGGCUUGAGUUUGGGAGAGGGAUGCGGAAUUCCAGGUGUAGCGGUGAAAUGCGUAGAUAUCUGGAGGAACACCGGUGGCGAAGGCGGCAUCCUGGACCAAAACUGACGCUGAAUAGCGAAAGCCAGGGGAGCAAACGGG
rnacentral:rRNA from 1 species